UUGAAAUUUUUUCAAGAAAUUUUAAGUAUUGGAUUUUUUUUUUCCAAAGAAAAUUCCAAGAAUAAGACCCCAUAAUAUAAUCCAGCGGAUUCCCCUGAUCUUUAUGGCAUUAUUGGAGCAAAGCCUCUAAAAAAAGCUUUAUGAAUCAACAAUUAUAUAAGGUUGUCAAUAUGGCGUUACGAUCAGUUGUUACGUCAUUUGUGACGUCAGUGAUACAUUUCUAUCUCAUAUUUUCAAAAUUGUAAACAAAAUUACGACAAUACGAUUGCAAGCAAAUACAAGAUGGAACACCUUCGUAUUCGAUAGAAUGAAUAUGAAUCCAUUUUCAAGCAAGGUUUUUCGGACCUGCGUCAAAAUACAGAACUUUGAUGUGAUGCUCAUUUCUGGAUCAUAGAUAAUUACCUAAGUCUUUGAUCCAGAUAUGAGCGUUACUUCAGAGUUCAAUCAUGGAUCACAAGGUUAUACUUAGCGCAUGUUCCCCUGUAUUUUGUGACAUCAUUCGAUCCGAACCUAUCCAGAUACACCCCCUAAUAUAUUUGAGAGGGAUCAACUUUGAUCAUUUGGAAUAGCUCCUUUUCUUUGUGGAUAGUGGAGAAAUGAGAAUGAUUCUAGAGGAACCAAAAGAUAUCAUUUCCGUAGCUGAAGAGUUUCAAAUAAAGGGUAUAGUUCUCAAAUGAAUCUUCCCCCAAAAAGAGUAGGAAUCUCUGCCAUUCUCCACCUCCAAUGAUUUAACUUAUUCGACUAGAUUCCCAACUCAUGACUUCUCCAAUCCCUUGAUAGCUAAAGAUGAUGUAUCCACUUAUUCCACUUCUUAUUCUCCUCAUGAAUCACCUGAUCCGUUCAUUGAUGAAGAUUAUGUAUCCACUGAAUUCCUCUCCAAACUGUCCCCUAAAACAGAAAAUGAACAAUGUUACAUCCUGGAUGAGAGCAAUGACGUCAAAUUUACUCAAAAUAGUACCAUAGAUAUUUCAACGUGUCAAAACCAAGAGUAUGUUGAAGCCUUAAAUAGAGGGGUUAGUCAACUCUACUGCAAGCCAAAAACGAGAAAGGAAUUUCAAUGCCGAAAAUAUGACUACGCAUCGAUGCACAAUGGAAAGUCAUGUUGAGGCCAUACAUUUCAUGACACAGGGUUUUAUUUACUCCAAUUGUUAUAUAACAUUCAAUAUCCGAUGUACUCUUAUUCAACACAACAUCAAAAUGUAUAAACGUCACAUAUCGUUUGUAAAGCUCCAAGUUAUUCUAAGAAGUAAACAAUAUUACUUAUAAUUAGACAUAUCCUUAGCUUCAACUCUCAACUCCUCAAAAAUAAGAGUCAAAAGUUAUGAAUAUGUAAUAUUAUUUUUCAUAAAUAUAUAUAUUGCAGUCUUACUCGAGUUUUAGUGAAAGGAGGACCAGGGGAGAUUAAAAAUAAUGUUGUGUUCAAAUUGCAAAUUUGUAAUAGGUAUAUUAUUGUUAAAUACAAUAAUAUAAAUUUUUUUAUAAAAAUAAAAAGUUUUAAGAAUAUAAAGUAAACCGUUCAUUUUUAGGCAUUUUUAAAAAAGAUUUAUUCACCCACUUCUUGAGUUUAAGAUAAGGUAGAAAUAUUAUAAAUACUAUCAAUGAUUAUGUAAUAUCAACUAUUAUAAACUUAUCAAUGUCUUGGAUAUAAAAUUUAAAUGUGAAAUUGACAAUCACAGUUAAAGUCAUGUUGAAAAUAAAUUAAUAUGUUUUGUA
rnacentral:lncRNA from 1 species